UCGUCACACUAUCAUUAACUGAAUCCAUAGGUUAAUGAGGCGAACCGGGGGAACUGAAACAUCUAAGUACCCCGAGGAAAAGAAAUCAACCGAGAUUCCCCCAGUAGCGGCGAGCGAACGGGGAGGAGCCCAGAGCCUGAAUCAGCAUGUGUGUUAGUGGAAGCGUCUGGAAAGGCGCGCGAUACAGGGUGACAGCCCCGUACACAAAAGCGCAUGUGCUGUGAGCUCGAUGAGUAGGGCGGGACACGUGGUAUCCUGUCUGAAUAUGGGGGGACCAUCCUCCAAGGCUAAAUACUCCUGACUGACCGAUAGUGAACCAGUACCGUGAGGGAAAGGCGAAAAGAACCCCGGCGAGGGGAGUGAAAAAGAACCUGAAACCGUGUACGUACAAGCAGUGGGAGCACAGGUUUACCUGUGUGACUGCGUA
rnacentral:rRNA from 1 species